UGUAGCUAGGAAUAGAAGUACGCUCAUUUUAGCUAUUAGAAGGUUUGCCUGAUACUCUGGCUCUUUAUUUCGAGGAUGUCUAGCUCACCUGUGAUAUAACUCAGACCCCAUUUCACUCAUUUCUUAAACUAGGAAUGGGGCAGAAUUUCCCAGCAUCUCUUCCAGCUCCCAGGGAGAAGGUCUGGGACCUAUGUUCUACCAACCAAAUACACUCUCAUGAAGCUCUCAUUUGGAAGUCAGCAACAUGCAGACACAGACUGGGUUCUGAGCAUCUAUGGUGCAGAUGAAGAUGAUGGCAGGAGCUGUGGAGGCAGUAGAAUCCUCAUCAAGCCACUUCUGUGCCUCUAGACCUGCAGUAGCAUGAAGAGGUCUGAGGAAGCUGUGCGUCCCUCAAGAAAGCAAUUCUUUAUUGCCCAUCAAAGAUGAAUCCAUAGGGGAUCAUUAACAAGGAGAUCAUCCCAGAGAGCAGCUUCUAGAAUCACCAACCAAACAGAAGAUUUGUCAGAAGAACAAAGACCUCAAAAUGAGAAGGAAUGUGUUCUGGACUUAAAACAUUGCUCAGGUAUCUUAGCAAGGACUGAGACCUUGGAGGUCUCCAAAUA
rnacentral:lncRNA from 1 species